rnacentral:rRNA from 1 species
AUUGAACGCUGGCGGCAGGCCUAACACAUGCAAGUCGAACGGUAGCACAGAGAGCUUGCUCUCGGGUGACGAGUGGCGGACGGGUGAGUAAUGUCUGGGAAACUGCCCGAUGGAGGGGGAUAACUACUGGAAACGGUAGCUAAUACCGCAUAACGUCGCAAGACCAAAGUGGGGGACCUUCGGGCCUCACACCAUCGGAUGUGCCCAGAUGGGAUUAGCUAGUAGGUGGGGUAAUGGCUCACCUAGGCGACGAUCCCUAGCUGGUCUGAGAGGAUGACCAGCCACACUGGAACUGAGACACGGUCCAGAAUCCUACGGGAGGCAGCAGAGGGGAAUAUUGCACAAUGGGCGCAAGCCUGAUGCAGCCAUGCCGCGUGUAUGAAGAAGGCCUUCGGGUUGUAAAGUACUUUCAGCGGGGAGGAAGGCGGUGAAGUUAAUAGCUUCACCGAUUGACGUUACCCGCAGAAGAAGCACCGGCUAACUCCGUGCCAGCCGCCGCAGUAA